CAGAAUACUUAAAAUAGCAGGUACUAUAAAUUUAAUUUGCUAAAGUUUACCCAUAAUAAAUUGAACCCUUGGCAACUCAAUCGAGCAGGAAGUGAUUUCUGUUUUAGUUUCAUUCAAUAAUGUCAGAUAAUGUCUCUACCUAUUGCCCAAGACCUGCUAUUCAUAAGAUCCCGUCAAAUAAAAAACAGGAGUGACUGAUUGACGCCAAUUAAACCAAUUUUAAACUCAAGAGUUAAAACUAAUUUUAUUUACUUAACCGAUGGGAUUCUAAUACUAUAAAAAUGAGGUUGAAGAUGUUGUGUUUACAAAAAGGGAUUUAUUGAAUGGCACAAUUGACUCAGCUGUUUUGCUUCAAAUGAUAUAAAAGGCAACGCUUUGCUGGCAUCUAGCAUCUCAGAUUUGACGAGAUUGGCAAAACAACUUCGCAACACCUAAACAGAAGCAUCAAGCGAAAGAUGAUCAAGUUAGCUUUCUUGGGACUUUGUCUUGUCGCUGGGUCUUCAGCCGUUUUAAACUGUAAGUAGAUGGCGUACACUUCACUGCCAGUAUGGCGCUAAAGAUGAUUUCGAAGGCAUGUCCCUAAAGCCCUGUGCAAACUGCGCCAUCACCUGCCAGCAUUGCUGAGCCAGCAAUGCUGGCCAAGUGCUAGGCCGGAGCAGUGCAGUGCUAGGCCACAACACAUGGCCAGCCUGUUGGUAAUAAGCUCACGCGUGACUGGCGUUUGAUGCAUGACGGGACCAAAGGCAACCCAAGACCCCACUAUUUUACUUGUGUUUUCAAAAGACAACCCAAGAUUCCGCUGGAUUCCGUUUGAAUUUGGGACUAUUUCGUCCCCUGAUGUUGUAGCGAUCGUCAUUUUACGACUACUAGUGAUAAGAGGACCA